CCCUAAAAAUUCCGCCUGUUCUGUUAAUUAAACUUUGGGGCAUUGAAAGUGGCUAAGGGAAAGAAGUGAUUGAAUAGAGAGUAUUAAUCUAGUCAUAUACUUCCUAGUCUACACCA